rnacentral:lncRNA from 1 species
GAUUUUGGCUAAUAUCACUUUGUUGUGCACACCAUAACAUGUAAAAUAUAAUAUCUGACAAUACAAGUAGAAGAUUUACGGAAACACAGUUCCUUGCACACCUCAAUAUUCCAAAGAGUUUCAUAAGUCACCAUCACACAUAUAGUCUCAUUUCCCUUAAGGGAUCGCAUGGAGAUAACAAAUAUCUCCCCCUAAAAAGUUUUAUUGUCAAGAUAAAAGAGGUAAGGUAGAAAUGUCGAACCAAAGAUCGUAGUUUGAUGACACCAGUACGGUCUGAGAAGAUGUCCAUUCUUCGUUGUUCACAACCUUGGUCUUCAAUUGGGAUCUAAGUGAUUAAACCGUCCCAGAAACAACUAGUAGAUUGAUUCUGGGCAAAGCUACGGUAAUUAAGAAAUUAAUUCUACCUCUUUCAAUUAGUUUCAUUCAACGUAGUAUUUUAAGUUUCUUUAACCGUUAGAAAUGUGUGGUCAUAUUAUUUUUAUAUAUUUAUUCAAUAAAUCACAUAUAUUUUCUAUCUCAUGGAAAAUAUAUUAUUGAGNAAGGAAAUAUAAAAUCAUUUGCAAAAAUGUAGUCAGUUUGUAUGAAUGCAAAAAUAAGUGAUAUCAUUGAAACCUUCAAAAUGAUAUAUUUUAGCNUGAAUGCAAAAAUAAGUGAUAUCAUUGAAACCUUCAAAAUGAUAUAUUUUAGCCCGAUGCAAUGCACUAUUGGACACAUAAUUUAACCAAUUUUCUCUGUACCUUCAUUUCAAAGAAUCCGCAGUCGCACACCUAGUUAAUUUUGAAUUUGAAAUCCAGGUUCGACUCCCGGCUGUGGAACUUACCUUUUAAAUAUUGGAAUUCUUUUUUUAAAAUAAAAUUUUCCAAUUAUCAUUAUUAUUCUGGAUAAUAAAAAAUACUAAUUCAUUUUCUCCACUAUUUUCCCUAUUCUUUUACCUUUAUACUACUUUUCCAUGGUUUUAGGUCUUACAAAAUUAAUGACUUAUUGUUCGAUUGAAAAUGAAAAGUUUCUUUAACAAUUUAUAAUAAUGUUAUUUAUUAUAUCUUUGUUUACUUUUAAACAUUUACGAAUGGUCAUUUGUCCAUACCUAAUUUUUUCACAUUUUAUAAAAUACAUUAAAUGUGAACUUUUAAGUCUUCAAAUAAUAAAGUGUUUUGUUCUUCGGUUAUGCGCAUUGAUUNAGGAAGCUGGUAGAUGUGUGUACCAACUAAACAGUCAUAAUUCAUGGAAAAAUUUGAGAUAUAAGAUAUUGACUAAUAUCACUAUGUUGUGCACACCAUAACAUUUAAAAUAUAAUAUCUGACAAUACAAGUAGACGCUUUACGGAAACACAGUUCCUUGCACACCUCACAAUUCCACUAGAGUUUCACAAGUCACCAUCACACAUAUAGCCUCAUUUCCAUUGAGGGAUCGCAUGGCGAUAACAAAUAUCUCCACCUACAAAAUUUUAUUGUCAAGAUAAAAGAGGUAAGGUAGAAAUGUCGAACAGAAGAUCGUGGUUUGAUGCCACCAG